rnacentral:pre_miRNA from 1 species
UAAUCACUAUUAUGUUGUUGGAACGUUUGCCUUCGUUUGCCGCUAGGGGCGCUGUUCCAACUGCAUACAAAUUUCAGUUA